AUAAAACUCUGUGAGGAAUGUCUUCUGCUGGAAACUAGGCUUAUGCUACAGCUCCUUAAUCUAGCUAAAUAUAUAUUUCUAACUAUAUAAUCUACUUUAUUUAAAUAUCCUUAUAUUAUAUCUUCAAAUAAUCAAAUUCAGUCUUCUUUGACUCCCUCUCCAGUCUCCACUUCCAAAUAUGACAGGAACGCAGACUCUGCAGGUUCAUAGAAGUCAAACUUUCUUCUUUCAUAGAAGUCAAACUUUCUUCUGCCUCCUCUGUUAAAAUCAGGGAACAGCCUGAGCUUCUUCCUCAUUUGGUCAGAUUAAUCUCUGAUUUUUCUCAGCUCUCAAGAUGUUUUGCAAACCAACUGUUACUAACUCUUCCCAGAUUUUCAGAGGAAACUCCAACCAACCACCCUUUGAGCCACAAACUCAAAGAGUGGGUAGAAUUCCUAACUGUUCUCUGCUAGGGGACUCUGGGAAUUUUUUUCCCAUUAUCUCUUGAGGAUUCCACUAUUUGAAUUAAAGGAUCCUAGCUCAUCCAACCCAACUUCUAUAACCAACCUAUUCUACUUAUCAAGACUCUUUAAUUACUCAGUUAAUUAAGACUUUACUCACUAUAAUACUUGCAACCAGGGUAGUACAAAUGAAAGAAGACAUACCUGUAGGAAAUAUGUGUGGCCAGGGAAUAUGUGUUGAAUAGUAAUUCUUUAGUCACAUCUUUUUGGGAAAAACUCUCCAUCAUAUCACUAGCAUUUUUCUCUGCCUCUGGCACUACUGUUUAUUUCCUUAUAGAGAUGGAGAUGUCUUCCUUUGGUAUGGUAAUGAUAUUGUCCUCCUCUGCUGCUUAAGGACUGGGCUUCUCUGCUGGGCAAGUCAUUCUUCUGAAAUUUACUAGAUUUGCACUGCUGUCUCCUUCAGGUCUUCUAAUGAAUAGGAGCUACUAUGUGGUCUUUCCUGGCUAGAAGCAGGUUCUAUUAGCCAUUUUAGUUCAUAGUUGUAGGAUAUCUCAGUACUUUUGUAAGUCAGACCCAUAAUCACAGUCAGUCAAACAGAGAGGUCCUUAGACUUUAGGUCUUUGUUUUGAGCUGGUUUUUUUUAUCUUCAGUUGCCACUUUUUUUUUUGUUAAACCCUUACCUUCCAUCUUAGAAUCAAUAUUAUAUAUUUGUUUCAAGGCAGAAGAGUGGUAAGGGCUAGGCAAUGGGGAUCAAGUGACAUGACCAGGGUCACACAGCUAGGAAGUGUCUGAGGUCAGAUUUGAACUUAGGGCCUCCCAUCUUUAGGCCUGGCUCUCAAUCCACUGAGCUACCCAGCUGCCACUCUUUGCAUUCAGUCUAUUCUUUGAACUAGAAUGAGAAAAUUCUCAAUUACUUUCAACUCUCAUCAUGCUCCUGGUGAUGUUGUACAAGCACACUCUGAGAGGUUUAUUUUUUUUAAGGUAUUGGUAGAGUUGAAAAUUUAUUUUCUUUUUUUUCCCACUAAAAUUUUUAUUUUUUUUAAUUUUUAAUUUUAAAAUAAUUUCCAUGUUUCCAUGAUUCAUUUUCUUUCCCUCCCUUCUUCCCUCCCCACUCUCAGAGCCAACAAGCAAUUCCACUAGGUUGUACAAAAGUUAAUAUUUGAUACCUAUUUCCAUAUUACACAUUUUUGCUAGUGAUUUUUUUAAAAGCCUAAACCCAAAUCACAUGCCCAUAUAUACAUGUGAUAAGUGAUGUCAUAUGUUUUGCUUUUGCAGUUCUACUUGCAGUUCUUUCUCUCAAUGUGGAUAGCAUUCUUUCACAUAUAAGUCCUUCAGGAGUGUCCUGGCUUCUUGCAUUGCUACUAGUAGAAUUGUUCCAUAAUGUUUUACUUUCAAUUUAUGAUGUACUUCUGGUUCUGUGCGUUUCACUUUGCAUCAGUUCAUUGAGGUUCUCUGGGAGGUCUAUUUAGCAAAACUGGAGGGGCAACAAAUUUAGUAGUCAGAAAAAAUAAAUUUUGUGGAGCUGGCAAUUUAUGUCCUGCCAUACUAUCAGAACCAAAACUCAUUGCUUUUCUUACAUUUGCCAAAGCACCUAGCACAGUAUUCUGCUUGAAAUAUGGGCUUAGAAAGCUUUUGUUAAGUGAAUGAAUAAAUAAAUGUUUAAAAAGCAUCAGAAUAACUUAGAUGGUGUUUCUUGAAGGGUGUUAAGUACCAGAGUGACCAUUUUUCUAUUUUAUUCUAUUACUCUCCAAAGAUUCAAAAGAGAACCUUGAACUCUGGGAUCAAAUUAGGACAUAUGUUUUAGUGCUACUCUUUGCCAUCUUUCUUUUGAACCCAAUAUGGGAAACAACAGGGAGCUUUGUCAUAUUCUGGGCAGCCUAAUUCAUGUCCCCUAAUUGCUUCAGGGAUGAAGUUCUACCACCUUGGUGGAGUGUUUCCUCUAUAACAGAGGCAGCUGAUGCUUUUGCUGACAGUGCAGAAACCUAAACACCAUGCAACAAAUGACUAAUUUCAUGUUGGUAACAUCAAAUGUCAUUGUCUAUAAAAAGUUUUAAUGCUAAUUGGCCUUCUUUUUCCUAAAGGUCAAGUUCCCACACUACAAAUGAAGGAGAAAAAGAAAAAUCUCAACAGAAAAUAAAUCCAACUUAAAUGAAAUCAGAACAAGUAAAUGUCAGCAUGUUUGUGCACAUGGAACUUUCAGACUCUCAGGAUGCCAUUAUCAUUCUUUUGUGGUAUAUGUUUCUGGUAUAGCGGUGACAUUUCUCUCAAUAAUCCAAUAUGAUCAAAUUAAUGGGAUUGGGGCAUUUUAGAAUUUAUAACCAUCAAUUUAGAGGUAGAAUGAUCCUUAAAGGUAAUAAAAUUCAAUAUCCCUUAUUUUACUGAUAAGGAAACUGAAACAAAUAACAAAAAAGAGAGGGAAUAAUUAGCAGAAUUCAAAUUAAACCUACAUCUUUGGACUACAAAUUUAGCAGUUUUCCCCCUUAUAAGCAUAUAGCACUUUACAAUUUUCAAAGAACUUUUCAUAUUUAUUAUCUCAUGUAAUCCUUAAAAUAAUCCCAUAAAAUAGGCUGACCAACUAUUAUUAUGCUCAUUUUACAUGUAAGAAAAGUACCAUACCAAGGUCAUAUGACUAGUGAAUGCCAGAUCUCUAGACAAAAUUUAUUUUUUCUGACUCCUACUAAAUUUGUUGCUCCUCUCACUAUAUUAUGCUCAUUCUUAUUCUUGCCAUUUUACUGAAGAAAGAACUAAGGUACAUGGCUAAGAGAUCUAAGAACUCAGAACUAGUAUUAAAAACUCAUUCCUCUGUAUCUUACAGAAUUUUAGAGCUAGAAGGGACUUUGGAGGUUAUCAAGUCACACAUCAAGUAGGUACAUGAAGCAUGAAGUUCUUCCUCAUCCCUGCCUCCAAACAAACAACAUUCCUGAUAAGUGGCAGUCCAAGCUCCAUUGAAGACCUCCCAAACCCUUGCUGUUUCCAAACCACACUGACCAAGUUUACAUUUUAUUGUUCCUUAGACAUCUUCAUCCCAAAUGUUCAUAUGGGCUAUUUGUGCCUAACCUGUGGUAGAGACUUCUGAGUCUGUAUUGGUCUGAAUAACCACAGUUGGACACACUGUACACUGACCCCAGCAUAAUGAUGUCAUCUCAGUCCUCUUCAAGUAUGAAGGACAAUAACUACUAUCCUUGUGGCUAAGAUGGAGGGAUGUGGGCUGGAUGAUAAUACCAUUAAGUGGUUUUAGAUUUAGUUGAAUGACUAGGACCAAAACACAGUGAUCAGUGGAUAGAUGUCAUUCUAGAGGGAUGUCUAUAGUUUAUUACUUUGGGGACUUGUCCUUGGCCUUAUGCUAUUGUUUUUUUUUUUAAUGAAAUGACUUGAACAAAGACAUUGAUGUUAUACUCAUCAAAAUUUCAGAUGACAUAAAAUUGAGAGAGCUAGUUAACACUUUGGAUGAUAGAACUGGGAAAUAAAAAUUCUUGGCAAACUAGAAUAAUGAUCUGAAGGUAAUAAGGAGAAAUUUAAGAGGGAUUAAUGUAAAACUCUAGCCUUGGAUUUGAAAAAAAAAACAAUUGGACAAUUAUAUGUAACCUAUGGACCAUAUAAAUGUAGAAAAACAGUUAGGUGCUCAUGUAGACAAUAAUUAAUUUUAGUUCUGAUUUUUUAAAAAAUGGUUAUGUCUUUGCAUCAUUCUCCUCCCUCAAGUUAACCCUGGGCACCUUUGAAUUUGCUUCAUAUCGAGCUUUCAUUCCUUUGAAAGAAAACAAAACUAACAAAGUCUGUAAUAAAAAAUAGGCCAGAGGUAACAGGUUAGAAUAUAAGGAAAGAGCAGAAACUGGACCUGUGAUUUCUGUGGUAUAGGGGAACUCCCAGAUAAGGGGAAAAACCCCUCUCUCUACUAAUGCAAAUCUGUUCCUUCUCUGAUCUUUUUAAUAUUAGAGGAUUAUCUAGAACACUGAGAUGACAAAUGACUUGCCCAGGGUCAUACAACUAAUAUGCAUCAAAGGUAGGGUUUGACUCUACCACUUCCUAGCUCUCAAUCAGCUUCCUCCCUCUCAUAUGCAGCACUGCUUCUCUAAUAAAAAUGAUAGUGUAGUGCCUGGAAUUUUAAUUAAUAAAUAAUGAGACCAUUUUUCUGAGCAUAACAAUUUAUUAACAGGGCAUGUAACCUGUUAACAAAGGAUGGAUCUUUCACCUGCCUCUUCCUUGAAUGAAAGACUCUCAGUGAGCCCUGACACUCUCUUUUAUAAGAAGGUGUAACCUCUUUAUGCUUGACCUGACAAUCCAUCCCUUGAACCUCCCCUGGCAAUCCCCAUUGGUGGAUAUUUAGAAAGAGGGAAUGGCCUUAAGAGUUCUCAAUUCCUCCCUCAUUAGUUUGUCACAGAGGAGGUGAGUCUUUACCCAAAAAAGGGAAAUGCUGGACCCAUUCUGCUUUAGGAUGUCUUAGGGAAGGUGAUCUUUUUGAUUUUUUUAAACCCUUACCUUCCAUCUUAGAGUCAAUACAGAAGAGUGGUAAGGGCUAGGCAAUGGGAGUCAAGUGACUUGCCCAGGGUCACACAGCUGGGAAGUGUCUGAGGUUAGAUUUGAACCUAGGACCUCCCAUCUCUAGGCCUGGCUCUCAAUCCACUGAGCUACCCAGCUGCCCCCAAGGUGAUCUUUUUUGAAGAUAAGGGCUUUGAAUAAAAGUUGAAAGAUCUCUGCCCAGUUUAUAUUGGCUUAGACUAUUUCAACUUGAUCUUGGAAGGGGUUUGAGAAAAUGAAUGAUUUCCUACAGAAAGAUUACUAACAAAAUGUACAAGCCAACAUUACUUUUCCUCGAUAUCUGACACUGAUCAAAUGUUUUAAGGUUUACAAAGAAGUUCAUAUGCAUUAUCUCACUUGAACCUUGCAAGACAGGUGCUUUUCAAUUAUAACAAAUUUAUAAAUGUAGAAACUGGGACUCAAAAAGGUUAAGGGAUUUGUCCAUGGACUCACAGAUAGUUAAGUGUUGAGAUAAAAUUUGAACCCUAUCUUCUCCUGACUCUUAGCCUAUUUACCCACUAUACCACAGUAUGUCAUAAUACAAGGAUCAAAAAAGACAAAUUUAUAUGAAAGACUUGUGUAAAUAAUAAAACAUCAUACCAAUGUAAGAGAUUGAUGUGGUGGAUAUUAUGAGGACCCUAGAAUAAAAGUAGGCAUUAUUGACAUAGAAUCCAGAGACCUAAUAAUCCAGGGCAAAUGUGAUUCAUUUGAGAUCUAUUCUUCAGAUUCUUUAAUCAUGCUUCUUGGUUCAUUCUCUUCCCUUUUUAAAAAUCAAUUUUGGAUUAUCGAAUUAAACAUAUAUUUAUUCAUUUUAUUUUCUGAAAAACCCUCAUCUUUGCCUUAGUAUCAAUUCUAAGAGAGAAGACUGUCAAGGGUUAGGCAGCGGGAGUUAAGUGACUUAACCAGAGUUACACAGCUAGGAAAUAUUUGAGGCCAGAUUUGAGCCCAAAUCCUCCCAGCCUGGUUCCCUAUCUAUUGUGCUACCUAGCUGUUCCCUCAACACAUGUUUAUGAAGUACCUACUAUGCAGGAAAUGUACUAAGAACCUUAAGUGCUUAAAUUAUGCUUGGGAGAUAUGAUAGAUCGAUUAAGGAAACAUAUAAAAUAGAAAAUCAAUGCAAAAUAAUUUCAAGAGGGUGUUGUACUUUGUUCUUGUUCCCUUGAAUAUCCCACCUUAUAGUCACCCUAGUAAGUGUAUAAUAGCCAGCAUAAAGCAGCAAUAUCAGAAAGUAAAAGUGCAAAAGGGAACCUAGAAGUCAUGUACAAAGCAUCCCAAAGAUUAGAGCACAAUUUACAAAUUAUACCAUCUAUUAACCAAAAAUGACCUCCUGGUAAUAUGUGCUAAAACGGGGGAAGUCAUGUAGGCUUUCCUAGCAAGGAUUUUUGGUCCUAUGAUAUGUAAAUCUUACAUAACUUCUGGACAUCUGCAAUGAUAAUUUUGAGAUAAAAUGACAUGAUAACUUUAACAUUUUACUGAUAACUUUGAGAUGAUUCAGACAAGUUAACUAACCCUAAGGUAGCACAGAUAAGAGUUUGUCUGUUCCCCUUCAAAACCUUAUAAAAACAAGUCUACAAACUUCUGCCACCUCAUCCCCAACUCCAGCAUUCUUCCACUUCCCCUGGGGUCCAUGCCACAGAGUGUUCCCAAAUUUAAUCCAUGGUUACAUAAAUGAUUAUCUAUGCCUUUCCCCCUCUCCACCCUGUUCUCAUGAUUCCUGACUUUACCCUAUUCCUGAUCCCAUGUCAUCUGCCUUGGCACCCCUUUUUGCCACUUGUCUCCACUUUCUGUGUCUGUUUAUCUCUACAUUCUCUGUGCCAUAAUAAAGUCUGAUUGCAGUCUCACAUCUCUGCCAUCAUAGCCUUUUCUGGCCAGUAACCAAAGAAACAGGUAUGUCUGCCCCCAUUUCAUAAUUUCAUAAAUUAAUUAUCACUAGAGAUGGAAGAUCCAAGGGUCAAAUCUGACCUCAGGCACUUACUAGCUGUGUGACCAUGAGCAAGUCAUUUUAACCCCUAUUGCCCAGCCCUUACUAGUCAUCUUCCUUUGAACUAAUACACAGUAUUGAUUCUAAAACAGAAGGCUUUUUUUUUUUAAGCUAAAAAGCAAAAAAGAAUUCUCCCCAAAUAAAUUAUCAGUUCAAAGAGGGAGAGCGUGCUCAUAUUUGCUUCACAUAGGAAGUGCUAUCUGAAUUGUAGUUUGAAGAGACCUAGAGAUUAUGAGAGGCAGGGGUGAGAAGGGACAUGUAGGCAGGCAUCUGUUUGAACAAAGACAGAGGUAAGAGACAGAAUGACCUAUACUCAGAAACAACUAGUGGAUCAGUUUUAAUAAAGCAGAGUGUGAAAUGUAGUAAUAUGAAAUUCAAAAAGCAGGUGGGAACCAUUAAAUUCCCAUUUCCUUGCCUCCCUUGAUUUUUUUCCUUUCUUUUUUUUUCAUAGCCCCUUUAGAAGGCAGAAACUAGUUGUCAGGACCAGGCAUGCUCAAGAAGGACCCAGAAGCUUUGGUUGCCAAGUCAGAGAAACCAGGGCAAUUACUGCCUUAUGCUAGCUUCCUUGUGCAAACAAGAACAGUCCAAAGUAUAACAGACAGAUCAGUUGAAAGCCUUCCCUUUGCAAGUAAAAAUGAACUCAACUUUCUUUUCCUGAAAUAUCUCUUUGAGAUAGGUUGGUUUUACCAUUAAGAAACAGAUAUUCACAAGGAAGUGCGUCAAUAGGUUCCCACUGAAAAGAUGGUACCCUGUUAGUUUUCUUGGGAAUCUUGAAUUUUUCAAUCCUUGAGCACUUGAAUUGCCAGUCAAUUUACACCAAUGGGAUUAGUCAAAAGAACAUAGCCUUCUUGAGCUAGUCAGCAAUCAUCAGGAUCAUUCAGGAGAAUUUUUCUAUACUAAGUCAUCUUGAUUGAGCAUCUUCACAUUCUAAUUUCACUAAAGAGUUGCUCAGUCCUUGAUUCCAUUUUUCUUAUGUAGACAAGAUUGAUUGAUUGAAUGUGUCUCUUUCUUUUUCACCUUAUAGGCUUUUUUUUUGGAUAGUAUUGAAGCAUCAAAAUAUGGAAAAGAUGGGGGGCAGCUGGGUAGCUCAGUGGAUUGAGAACCAGGCCUAGAGAAAGGGAGGUCCUAGGUUCAAAUCCGGCCUCAGCCACUUCCUAGCUGUGUGACCCUGGGCAAGUCACUUGACCCCCAUUGCCUAGCCCUUACCACUCUUCUGCCUUGGAGCCAAUACAUCGUAUUGAUUCCAAGAUGGAAGGAAAGGGUUUUAAAAAAAUAUGGAAAAGAUGGUCCAUGAGUUUACGGAUGAAAAGACACUUAUUAGGAAUCAAUAACUUUUCACAAAGAUUACUUUGGACAAAGCAUAAGGUUGUGGAGAUGUGGUGCCUUGGAAAAAAGCAUUAAAUUAGAAGCUUGGUCAUCUGGAUUCAAAUUCUGUAUCUGACAUUCACUUCCUUUAUUGACCCUGGGGAAGUUAUGUGACUUCUUCUGAGUCUCGGUUUCUAUGUUUUAAUAUUAAUAGCAUAAUAUUAAUGUAAUUACAUGAUAAUUAAAUUAUAUAAUAUAGAUUUAUAUUAAAAUUUGUCAUAACAAAAGUAUAAUUAUAAACAAUACAUCACAAUAUAAUAAUUUUAUUAAAUUUAGAUUGAAUUCAUAUUUAAUAUUAAUAUAUUCCCAUCUACCUCAUAGUAUUUUAAGAAUCAGUCAACAAGUAUUUGUAACAUUUCUACUAUAUGUUAGAUGUUGGGGAUGAAGCUAUCUCUGCUACUGGAAUUUGUAGUCUAUCAAUGGAAAUAACAUGUAUGUUUAAUGAUAGAAACAAAAUAAAUGCAAAGCAAUUUUAGGGAGAAGGCAUGAAUAGUGAGGGGGAUUAAAAAAGGCUUCAUGUACAAGUUGGAGUUUGAAUUGAGUUUUGAAGGAAAUUAUGGAUUCCUAGAAGCAAAAAGGAGAAAAGAAAUGGUUCCAGGCAUUGAAGGCAGCCAAUGCAGACAAAGAAAUAGGAAAAAUAGGAGAUAGAUUGUCGUGUGUGAUCCAGUUUGACUGGACCAUAGGGUAUGGAGAGGGAAGAAAAGUAUAAUAAUAAUUUUAGAAGAAUAACUAGAGUCAGACUGCAAAGAGUUUUAAAUGCAAAAUAAAAGUUUCUAUUUGCUCUCAAAGAUAAUAGCAAGUCAUUGGGAUUUACUAAAUUGGGGAUCAGUUUUGUGCUUUGGGAAAAUGAUUUUGACAAUUGCAUGGAGGAUGGAUUGGGAAGGAGAGAGAGUUAAAGCAGAGGGACCAAUUGGAAUCUUACAACCAUGAGAGGUAGGUGGUGGUGUUAUUAUCCCCAUUUUAAAGUUGAAAAAACUGAGACAGACAGUUUAAGAGGGCCAAUGUCACACAGAUGCUGAGGCUGGAUUUGAACUCAGACCUUCCUGACUCAGGUGUGGUACUCUUUCCACUAUGCCAUUUAACUGCUUUAAAAUGGAGAAAAUAAUAUCUGUAGGUACUACCUUGCAGUCAUUAGCUGGAGCAGUGGAUAGUGCUCCCAGCCAGGCUGGGAGUCAGUAAGACUUAUCUUCUUGAGUUCAAAUAUGGCCUCAGACACUUACUAGUUGUGUGACCCUGGACAAGUCACUUAACCCUCUUGUCUUCAUUUCCUCAUCUAUAAAUGAGCUGGAGAAGUAAAUGGCAAAUCACUCCAGGAUCUUUGCCUCCCAAAAACCCAAAUGGGGUCACAAAGAGUCAGACAUAACUGAAAUAACUGAACAAAGUAACUCCCUUAAAUAGUUUUUUCAUGGUUCAAAUGAGAUGAAGUACAUAAAGCACUUUGCUAACUUUAAAGCAUUAUACACAUGUCAAUAAUUGUGAUUAUGUUGAAUCCAGGAGAAAACACAUACACAUAUAAAAAGAUAAGUAAUAACACAAGAGCCUACAUGGGAAAUGGGAAAUGAACUGCACAGAUAUAAACGUUAUGAGUUUAGACUUAGGGGACAUUAGGUCAAGAGUUAUUUGAGGGGGAACGGGGAGCAUGAUCAACUUCUGGAAGCUCAGAGAUUCCUAGGAAGGCCAAAAAGAAUCCUAGAGUUGAUUUUUUCUCUGCUGUCUUCCCAGUGCUGACCUAGUAUACCACAUAAUCAUGCACUGUGCUUACAUAACCUGGUCCGUCUUGGCAUCUUGUCGACAGUGAUGACAGUGCCGGGAAGGAAAGAGAACAUAACAGCCUCAUCCUUAGAGUCAGGGAAACUGAAAUCCAUUGGAUUGCUCAAGGUCACCCAUUAGUCAGCUGAACUAGGAACAGAGAAAUGGAGCUCCCUAUUCCUUAUGGACAGUUGACUAUGUUAAUUCAAGUCCAGCCCAACUGCAUUAGAACUUAAGUAAAGCUCUGUGGGGGCACAGUGAAGAGAGGAAAGCAUUACUCAGUCCAAGCAAAAGGAGAAUGUCAUUAGGGAUAUGUGAUCCUUUUAAGAUUUCAAGUGUUUUGCUUGGUUCCUCCCUGCCCCCUCCCCCCUCCCCCCCCAGUUUUCACAUUAGAUUAUGUUAUCUAACAGCCUUGAUUCUCCCAGGGCCAGCCAGGAAUGUUUUCCCCUGCAGAUCCUUAGCCACAGAGAGUGGCAGUCCUCAAUCAAAACCACAGGACAAAAUGACAGAAAAUCCAGAUGUGAGCUGCCUAAAAUGGCUCCCCAGUGAUAUGACGGCCACAGCCAGUAUGAAAUGAGGAGAAAAAUAGAACUCAGAGGGUCAUCCUAAGAAUUAGGCAGGUGGGGAGCCUUUUUGAAAUAACAAGGAUUCAGUGGAGAGGUCAUGAAUAUAACUAAGCAUACUCCUCAAGACAUUAAAGCUUCAAGGAAACUGUCGUGGACCUACCUAUAUCUAGAAGUUCUUGUUGGAGUUGAAAGGACAAAUGAAAAAGACAAUAAAUUCUGCUGCUGUAUCUUUUAGAGAGCAAUGAAAUGUUGGGGAAUGACAGUUUUAACCAUCAUUUUUGAGGAGUCUGGGAGGAGACAGAAUUUAACUGUCACUGGAGAGACUAAAUUGUGAAGGCUGAAGAGAGGCCAGAGAAAAAGAAAUGAGAAAAUAUUGCCUGAGAAAACUGAGCUUAAGUCUUUUACUAUAAAGAAAUAUGAAGAGAAUUUUUGACAACAGAACUUCAGUUGGUUUCCUCACAUGUCUAACUGGUGGGACUGCAUUUCCAGAGUUAGAGAAGUUAGCAGUUCUAAUAAUGGUUAAAACUGACUUUGGUGGUACUCUUUCUCACUGGUGAUACAUUUUAAGAAGUUUUUUAUAACUUUGUUUUUUAUCAUUUGUUAUUUUAUUAAUAAAUCAUGUAGCCAGUAACUUUAAUGUUUAUUUAAACAUAGGCUAUUAGGAAGAAUGAUAUAUAGAGAAAAAUGAAUAAACAUGUCUAAAGAUUUUUCUCCAAAUUGUCAAAAAAAAUUUUAAUGAACUCAGUUGGGUCUUGGAGUUAAUUGAUUAAUUGAGAUUUUUUUUUUUGCAAAUUUAGUAAUUAAUGUGGAAAUACCACAAUAUACACCUUGAUUAUCUUCAAAUCAUUUACCUUGAAAACCCACAUGAAAAUGUAUGAGGAAAAUGAAAUUAGCAGGUAAAGAGAAAGAUAAUUAACCUGGGUUAUAUGUGUUGGUCAACCCUAAAAUCCUGCUACACUAAGAAAGGAGGUUAAAAUAUUUAUUAGCUCAGUAAAGACUUGCAAAUGAUCAGUAGCGUUUUCUCCUCCUCCAAGAAGAAAAAACCUAUAGGAGCAGAAAAUUAGAGUCCUAGAACAUUGAAAUAUCACUUUGGUGAAGCAAUGAGUUGCAGUGUUAAGGGCAGACAGGAAUAUCAGUGGCAGGCAUAGAGAUAGGGCAAAUAGCAGUGAUAAUUCUGGAACCUUAGCAAGGGAUCUCCAAAAGAUGGGACUCAGAUUCUAAAACCCCUUAUUUAUCCCAGAUAUGUGUGAGCUUUUUUCUAUUUUAUUCAACACAAUCAUAUAAAUAGCUUGAGACUCUAUCCAGUAUAUUUGCUACCAGUUGGUUAGAUGAGAACCAGCCAGAAAUCAAAUAUCAAAGCUUUUAUUUAGGACAGAAUACCAAAAUAAAUAACAGUGAAAAUUCAAUUACUAGCCUUGUUCUUAGCAUUCCUGACCCCAAAACAUAGAAGAAUACAAUAUUCUCUAUGCUCCCAGGCUAGUAGAAAAGAGGUUUGUCUUCUCUUUUUUUUUUUGAUGGGGAUUUUUGGUUUGCUUUCCUUGUAGGGGGUCUUAAACUAGAACUGAUUUUACAUAUUCUUUUCAAAUGCACCUAUUACAUUUUUUUUCUGGAUAAUUAUUUCAAUAUAAUGAGGUUUCCUUUAUUCAUUUUAAAACAUUACCCUAGGGAGACAAAAGGCUUCACCAGACUGCCAAAGGAGUCCAUGAUACAUAAAGGGUUAAGAAGCUCUUAACUUAGAUCAUCUUAGACCAACAUUUUAGACCAGGGCAAUUGAGAUAUCUAAGUACUCACAAAUAAGUACCCCUGUUCAUCCAAACCAGUCCCAGAAAUAUUAAUGUUCAUUCUUAUCUGAGUUCAAUAGUCCUAUAAUAUUCAGUACCCUUAUUCCUGUGCAUUUAAAUAUUGCAUAUCUAUUGAGGUAUGGUGCAAUUACCAUUUCUACCAUGGGGCCUUUACAUAUUAUUCAAAGCUUAUUCCAUCUUCUCAUUCUCUGAACUUUUAUAGUACUUGCUGUUUUCCCAACAAACUUGUGUUCCAUUGCAAAAUCUCAGAACUGGAAGACCUCAUAGGUUUUCCAGGAUAUUCCAUAUAUGAAGAGCAACCCCUGUGUGAUGUUCCAUGAAGGAUUCUUCUCACUUAAGUUGGGAAAUAUUUAGCAAUGGGGUAUCCACCACCCUCUGGGGAAGCCUAUUCUACUCUUUGACAGUUCUAUUAGGAAGUAUUUCAUUAUUAAAUCCAAAUCUGCUUUUCUAUAAUUUCUAAUCAUUAUUCCUAAUUUUCUUAUCCUCUUGGGUCCAGCAGAAUAAGUCUACUUGUUCUUCCAUCCCUGCAAAUAUUUGAAGACAGUUAUCUUCUACAUCUAACACCCCCACACACAUGUGUAUGUGCACAUGCACACAUACACACAUACACUCUUAUCUCCUCUUGGCCAAACAUCCUUCAUUCAAUUUAUCCUCACAUGAUAUGAGCUUAAGGAUCUUCACCAUGAUUAUUGUAUAUUCUCUUUAAUUGCUUUCUUAGUGUCUGCCCUACCUCCCAGUAACACAGGAAUGAUAUCUUGUCUCUUUACCCUUAGAUGUCUCUCAUUUUCUAGCCUAGUUCUGGUUGCAUAGGAGAUAUGAAAAAUGCUUUAUAAAAUUGAAUUGUAAGCAUCUGUCCCUAAAUAAGAACCAUUCUGGGAACUUCAUGUGUGCUGAGCAUGCUUGUUUUGCUCAGGGCAAAGGGCAGGUUGUUUAAAGUGACAUAUGCCCAUGUGAAAGCCCUUUCCAGGGUUACAAAAGUUUUCAUCUCAGAAGUUGGAUCAUAGCCUGGCCAACAUGUGUUGCGUUCCUUCUUUUUUUACAUGUGGCCCAAAGUCCUUGCAUUGACCCUGUGGGAAUCUGACCCAGCAUCUGCAGGGAAUAUGUAAAUCAUGGAACUAUGAGGGAGUAGAAUGGUUAUGUGAGGAGGAGGAUCAAAUGAUGUGGAGCAAACUUCAUUUUGAAUUCUAUGAAUCCAAGGUGAUUUCUGGGAAAUGGUGAGCUCUACAGCUCCACCAAAGGCAUCUUUGUUAUUGUUGUUGUUUUAAUGUCAAUGCAACAUUGCUAUUCUGACAGGAAAUGGGAAAUAAGUAGGGUCAUUCACUCUCAGUUCCAUCUCUGAUGAUCACUUUGUUUUCACUAGAGUUUUGACCAGAGAGCCUCUUUUUAAAAGGUUGGAAGCAAAGUUAAAGGAAUUCUGGGUUGUACUAGAUUAUCACUAUAAUUGAAGAGUCCAACUCUUCAAUGCUAUGAUUUUUUGAUUUAGGAAUUCUAGUGUCUCAAUUUACACAAGAGAUCUUUUCCUUAAAGAAUGUUGUGUAUCUCUCAAUCUUUCUGUUUCUUUGUCCCUCUGUCUCAUUUGAACUCUAAUUUAAAAGUACUGGGGCAAUUGCUAUUUAGAGGAACUUUUUUUUUUACUUUAAUCAGAAUCAUAAAGACAGUAGAAAGAGUGUUGACUUUGGCAUCAGAAAGCCUGUUUGAAUGCUAAUUGACAACUCUGACUUAGAACAACUUACAUAAUUUCUCUGGGUUUUAAUUUCUUUAUAUGUAAAAUUUACUAGAUGAUCUUUGUUUUCUUCUCUAUCUAAAUUUAUGACCUUAUAAGUCUUCUUAUGAAGUGAAUAACCCCUCUUCACUUUGUCUUUUCUUAAUAAUGACAAAAGUCCUUGGGGCAACAAGGUAGUGCAGUGAAUAGACCACUAGGCCUGGCAUCAGGAAGACCUGAGUUCAAAUCAGCCACAGACACAGUUAGCUGUGAAACCUGGACAAAUCACUUGAAUUCUGUUUGUGUAUGUUUCCUCAUCUGUAAAAUGGGGAUGAUAAUAGUAUGUAUCUCUCAGGGUUUUAUGAGAUUCCAAUGGGAAAAAAAAAAUUGUAAAGCCCUUAGCAUAGAUCAUGGCACAUAAUAAAUACCACAUGUUUUUAGCUUGAUUAUUUUAAACUAUAAAGUACUAUGUAAAUAUCAGAGUUAACUGAGAGAAAUAUCCACUUAAGAGGUUUGCUCAAAAAGAGUACACUUGCAUUAAGUACAUAGGAUCACAGAUUUGGAGUCAAAAGGUUUCAAGUCCAUCCCUUUCAGUUUAUAAAGGAUAUUGAAACCCAAGGAAAUUUAGUGACUUUCCCCAGGACACAUAGAUCAGGGGUCCCCAAACUUUUUACACAGGGGGGCCAGUUCACUGUCCCUCAGACCGUUGGAGGGCCAGAGUAUUAAAAAACAAAUAAACUAUGAAUAAAUCUGUAUACCGCUGUCUGGGGUAGCGAAGGCUGCAGCACUGGCUGGGAUGGGCCUGUCACACCUUGCACAGACCCAUCACUGCCACCACUAUACUGGGCAGCAGUAUACACAGUGUGGAAUCCCCUCCCCCAGAUCACCAGUCACCAUGCUGACAUCUUCCAUUGUGCAGCCACAUAAUCCUUUGUGCGAUGCCUCGUUCUCAUUCAGUUACUCUCAGAACAAGGAAGUAGUACUGUAUGUGAGUGACCCCUCACUUUGUGGCAGCACCACAUACAGUACUCCAGGAGCACAGGACGCUGCUCUCACUGACCACCAAUGAAAGAGGUGCCCCUUCUGGAAGUGUGGUGGGUGCUGGAUAAAUAGCCUCAGAGGGCUUCAUGUGGUCUGCGGGCCGUAGUUUGAAUACCCCUGACAUAGAUAAUAGUUAGUACCAGAGAAAGCAUUUAUAGGAUCACAAGAUUCUAACUGGAAUGACUUUAGAGGUUUUUUAGUUUAACCUCUUCAAUUGACAGAUGAAGAAUAUGAAAUCAUGAGAGGAACAGUGAUACCUAAGGUCACACAAAAUUUGGGAGAUAAUUUUUUAUUACAAAUCUGGACUUCCACUAUUCCCCAGGGCCUCUAUUCAAAUAUCUAAACAAGGAUAUUUUGUCAGGACACAAGUCGGCCUGCUUAAUUCCAUAAAAAAUGAGAAAGGACACUGAGGAAGACUUGGUUUAAAGGAAAGCACAUGUUCCUCCUUAGACUUUUGAGAUCUUCAUCUUGGAGGAGAUGACCAAAGAGAUGAAGGGUCUGCAUUAGGGCAUCUCUGAACAAGAGCUAUUUGAAGAGAGAACAAAAAUGUCUUCCUGGUUGGA